rnacentral:SRP_RNA from 1 species
GCUGCACCGGCCUGGAACUCCGCUCGCUCACCUGCCGUUGCGACACCCUCGGCUUCAAGCAAGUGCGGCGCCUCUGGACCGCCGGCAAGGACGCCAGGCUCCCGGAACCGGGCCAGAUCCGGAAGAAGACGCAGGCAACGUUCCUGGGCAGCAGCUGGUCCGCCGUGGGUUGGGCU